ACGCUCGACACCUACAGGAGGCAGCAGUAGGGAAUCUUCCACAAUGGACGCAAGUCUGAUGGAGCAACGCCGCGUGAGUGAAGAAGGUCUUCGGAUCGUAAAACUCUGUUGUUAGAGAAGAACACGAGUGAGAGUAACUGUUCAUUCGAUGACGGUAUCUAACCAGCAAGUCACGGCUAACUACGUGCCAGCAGCCGCGGUAAUCUGAGCGGGCUGGCAAGGC
rnacentral:rRNA from 1 species